GAUGAACGCUGGCGGCGUGCUUAACACAUGCAAGUCGAACGGGCGCUUUAGCAAUAGAGCGCUAGUGGCAAACGGGUGAGUAACACGUGGGCGACCUGCCUCAAAGUGGGGAACAACAGACCGAAAGGUUUGCUAAUACCGCAUGUGCUCGACGAUUCAAUUGGUCGAGUAAAACCGCAAGGUGCUUUGAGAGGGGCCCGCGUCCCAUCAGGUAGUUGGUGAGGUAAGGCCCACCAAGCCGAUGACGGGUAGCUGGUCUGAGAGGACGAUCAGCCACAAUGGAACUGAGACACGGCCCAGACUCCUACGGGAGGCAGCAGUGGGGAAUAUUGGACAAUGGGCGAAAGCCUGAUCCAGCGAUGCCGCGUGUGUGAAGAAGGCCUGCGGGUUGUAAAGCACUUUCAGUAGGGAAGAAAGACCGAGUGCC
rnacentral:rRNA from 1 species